GACGUCUCUUUCCCAAUGUAAGUCUAUGGGAAAAAGUCUUUUUGGGCCCAAUGGCAUCACGUGACGGACACGGAAGUUGUAGUACCACCGUUUGGCCACUACGAAAAUUGGGAUCAACGACCGGCGUUCUUCCUGGGGGGCUUGAUAGGGGAUAGGAAUGUGAAGUCACCG